rnacentral:rRNA from 1 species
AAUAGAUACCCCGGUAGUCCACGCCGUAAACGAUGAGUGCUAGGUGCCGGAGGGGUCCACCCUGCGGUGCCGAAGUUAACACAUUAAGCACUCCGCCUGGGGAGUACGGUCGCAAGACUGAAACUCAAAGGAAUUGACGGGGACCCGCACAAGCAGUGGAGUAUGUGGUUUAAUUCGAAGCAACGCGAAGAACCUUACCAGGUCUUGACAUCCCUCUGACCGGUCUAGAGAUAGGCCUUUCCUUCGGGACAGAGGAGACAGGUGGUGCAUGGUUGUCGUCAGCUCGUGUCGUGAGAUGUUGGGUUAAGUCCCGCAACGAGCGCAACCCUUGAUUCUAGUUGCCAGCACCUCGGGUGGGCACUCUAGAGUGACUGCCGGUGACAAACCGGAGGAAGGCGGGGAUGACGUCAAAUCAUCAUGCCCCUUAUGACCUGGGCUACACACGUACUACAAUGGCCGGUACAACGGGCUGCGAAGGAGCGAUCUGGAGCCAAUCCUAUCAAAGCCGGUCUCAGUUCGGAUUGCAGG